rnacentral:lncRNA from 1 species
CUUGGCUGAUGGUAUCUUUUGCAGAAAGAAGUGCCCUGAUUACAUGACUACUGUGCCCACACGGGGUCUGAGUCACCCCGUGAACUCACCAGUCUUCUGUAUUCAGCAGAGGGAGGUCAUGAACUUGCCCAAGAGAGAUGGCCCUUUGAGAAACACUGGAGAUUGCUAGCUGGGCUCUAGCAAAGUUAACAGCCUGGUUGUGGCCAGUGGAUAAUUUUCGAUUCCGACUGUUCCCAUCCCUCACCUGUGAUGCAAAGCAAGGGGACACAACACGUAUGGCAUUACUUUUAAUUUGUACUUUUAACUUGAAAAAUACUGAUACCAUCUUUCUCAGGCUUAAGGAAACUUUUAACAUAAUGGGAAGAAAUCUCACAGAAGCUAGAGUAUAUUAUAUGAAAGCUUAAUAAUACAGAGUCAGAAUACUUGGAAUACGAUGGUGUUAUGUGAUGCAGAUACCUUUGGCCAGCACCUUCCCCAAACCCUGCUGCUUUGCGAAAGCCCUCAAUUAGUUGGAAAAUCACCUGGUGAUGUCUGCUUUUUAUACAUCCAAAACAAAAAUGAGAGAAAUUCUAGACAACGUUGCUGAUGGUGCACUAAGCCAGCACUAACCUGCUCCAGGAAACAGUGCAUUGGAACUAAAGAUUUUUUUUUUCCCUCUUUAUAAAGUUGAUAAAAUAGUCUCUUUAUUUGGUUCUGUUAGCAGUCCAAAAUUUGCUUUGGGAGGGAAAGAAGUUAAAAAAAAAACAAAACAAAAAAAACAAUGAAGACUCCUGUCUUUCGAGCUUGCCCUAGGGCCCUAUGGUAAUUAAGUAGUUCUAAGGAGCUGUGUGGGUUAGGCUUCCUAUUAUGUGAGAAACUUGGAUCUGUCAGAGAUAGCCUGAUAGUGAUAUCCUAAACUUCAUUUCCGAGUCUCGCCUGAUAAAAAUUUAAAAAGUGUUGCCCGCAGUCUGGUGUUAACAAACAGUUCUCUGUCAUUAAAGCUGGCCUGAGCAUCAUCUGUUUUAGGAAGUGGGCUGGUUAAAGAUCCUGCUUCUUUUCGGUCUGGGAGAAAAUAAACUGAAAGCAUGGUCACAAGAAAUGUGAGCCUUAUGAUGGCACAAUUCUGAUUUACAACAGCAGUGGGCCAGCCAACUUUGUAAAUACCAGUGAGAGAAGAGACGGCUGAUUUUUAGCAAAAGUUUAAGAAAAAGCAAAGCUUCAAACCUACUACUCUGCCAGAAGUUUUACAGAUGGUAAUUAAUAUAAUCUUUAUGCCUGCAUAUGUUGGAUGAUUUUCUGUAAGUAUAUUGGUACAUCCUCAUGAACCCUAUUCUUUGUUUACAGGAGUGGCAAGCCACCGUGUCACCCAAUUUGGAUCCUGGCUUCCCUCAAAAGACUCUUAUGGCUAUUGCUUGAUUACCUUCUGGAGUAGCCAACUACAUAUAGAUAUAUAGAUAAAAGACUAUUGGUUUUGGCCUGAUUUUUUGCAGCCACCUUUAUAUAUAUGGAUUUUCCUUACCAAGGAUGAUGACUUUAAGUGUUAGUAAAAGUAUUUGUACAGCUCUCCUAACUAUUCUUCUCUGUAACAUUUCAUUUCUCAAAAUUAUUAAUUUUGACAGGAUUUUAAGCUAAACAAUUCAGCAUGGACCUUGUCCUUUCUUUUCUUUCUAAUGAGACUAGCAAUGAGACUAAAUGUAAUUAAUGGUCUGUGAUAGUUGAAUUUUCACAAUCUGGUAAAAAUCUC